rnacentral:hammerhead_ribozyme from 1 species
AUCCAGCUGAUGACCAGUCCUAAUUAGGACGAAACGCGCGUCAAACUGGAU